UGGACCUCAACAAAAUUAGGAUCAUCGGAUUGCGGAUAUCGUCUACCUGCGCAAGGUGACGUAAUCACUCUUUUUCUUUAUUAUAUGCUGAUUUAUAUCAUGCUUAUAUCUGAUUUAGAUCUAUGUAUGGCAUGCUGGGUUAGUGAAAAAAAUUUGAAUUUCGUUGCCUUUGAUCCGAACUGAUCUAAUGCGCCUACACGAUCCUU
rnacentral:lncRNA from 1 species